rnacentral:lncRNA from 1 species
UAUGCUUCCUGGCUACACUCAAGUUCUCAAGGAAUGGAUGUGCCUGAUCCCCUGUCUUACCAGAUAAGGGCCCUCACUGAGGAUGCUCUAGGAACCCACAAGGUGAAGAAGAGGUGCCCCUUCCUUGAAGGUGGAGUUGGAUUAUCCUUUAACUACCUGGGCCUGCUGAUUGGAGUUGCUGUGCUUACUGCAAUCUUGCAUAUGUUAGCAUUGGUCUUGUGUGACUCGUAACUAGAACGUACGUGAGGAAGGCAAAUUCUCUGGGUCAGAACACAGCAUCACUGGAGUUCCCACUUACAGCACCUACUUUUGACCUGAGGAAU